GGAUUACAGGCUUGAGCCACCGCGCCCGGCCCAAGUGAGGUGCUUUUAUUUACCUUUAUUUUCUGAGUGAGGGAACAGGCUCAGUGCAGGGGCCUGUCAUGGAGGAACUUUGAUGCCUGGCUAGCAAGCUCUGUCCUCAAGAUGAGAAGCUGCAUGUGGGAACUCUGGCCUCCAGUUCUGGCUUAACUGUUGGUCUUUGUGAAUCUCUGCUUGCCCCUAGCCACUGCCAUGGAGCAGCUCAGACCAGGGUUGAAAUUAGAAUAGGGAGGGAAUAAAUUGGCUGGUUGUGUGA